rnacentral:lncRNA from 1 species
ACAAAUUGGUUGAUUCCCGACGUCUCUCUCUCUCCUACAGGUGUGUAAGGCUGAGAUAGCAGUCCGCCAGCUCACAGUAGACUAUGUCAACCAGUCGGAGUUACAGACGAGCAGAGGGCGAUAUGAACACCAAGAUUAUGCUGAUGAGCUGGGCGGUCUUAACCAUCGCUGGCUCAGUCUACAGGGCACCAUCAACAACCAGAUCCAGGAUGUUGAACAGGAGCUGAUGAUGUGCACAGAGAGAGAGGUCAGACUGCAGCACCACCACACCUGGCUCACCAGUCAGAGAGAGUGGAUGGGCUCAGCCCAGAGGCCUGUCAGUCACUCUGAGGUGGAGAAGAGCUUAAAAACCUGUGAGGUGUGUUGAAAAACAGAACCUGGUGUACAGUACCACAGGUGUCAAGUCAUUUGCCCUCUAGUUAUUUCUAUGAUGACGGGGCUAUGUGCAAUAUUUUGUUUUCACCAGGUGUUUAUGUUUUUUAGAACCACAAUAUUAUCAGAUCCAAAGGCAAUUUAUUAGAAAUGAUGUGCAAUGAUUUUG